CUCUUACCUGCUAUAUAGUUGGGGGUCUCUGGUCCUGGACUAGAGCAGUAGGCAACCUGGGUCCCCCCACACACACGGGAAAGAAUUGGAGGGGCCUGCCUUGUGAUGUCACCCCUCCUCCCCCCACCGCGCGCACGCGCGCGCGCACACACACAAACACAAACACACACCCCAACACACACGCCCUGUCCCCUUUCUCCACCCUGCAAGCUAGUUGCAUUUAGCUCACAGAGCCUGGGCUGCGACUUGAAAGAGUUUAGGCAGCAACAGAGUGACCCUGGGGGUGCUCUUGACCGACAGCCGCACCCCCGGCGUCUAGGACCUCCGAGCAGGGAUGCAUCUGGAGGUCUAGGGAAGCACUUCCACCCCCUCCUCUCCUCAAUCCUGGCAGGAUGGCUACUGCUGCUUCAAGACAGUGACGUUUCUCUCCGGUCAGCUGUCAGGAGCGCUGCUGGGUCUUACUGGGGAUCUGGCCAGCCUUGGGGGCCCUUGGAGCCCUGGCCCAGUGGAAGCUCGUGCCUGAGGAACAUGGAGGCCACGCUAAUGAGUUACUUCCAGAGUCUUCAAGAGUGCCAACUGGGACCAGGACCCCAGACCACAGCCCCCCACACCGUCCUGGACCUGGAUUCUGACUGUGGUUCCACUGUACCCCUCACCUUAAUCUCUGGUUCUAACCAGACCUGAGCCUAGACUUCCACUUUUUCCCUUACCCCUGUGAGGGCCUGGGAACACUAGGUGGGCAGGGUUUGAGCCCACAGGACCUGCACACAAACUUCCCCACCUCUUGGACUUGGGGACAGGAUCUGUGCCUCAACCCAGACCAGCUUUGUAGGGAUAUGUUCCAAGAACAGAGAAGAGUCUUAUGGGGAAGGGGGAGGAAGGGAAGUAUGAAUAUUUACCUCUGACCAAUAAUAGAGGUGCCCUGGUCCCCAAAGAAAUUGACUCCCGAAUUCCCUCCAAGCCUUACCCAUAUAGCUUUUGUUUGUUUGUUUGUUUUCAGACAAGGUCUUGUUCUGUCCAGUGCCGUGGCGUGACCACAGCUCAUGACAACUUUGAUUUCCCCGGCCCAAGCGAGCCUCUCAUUCAGCCUCCUGAGUGGCUGGGACCACAGACGCCACACACAGCUAAUUUUUAUGUAUUCGUUUUUAUUUUUUUGCAGAGACAGGGUCUCCCUAUGUUGCCCAAGCUGGUCUUGAACUCCUGGGCUCAAGUGAUCCUCCUGCUUCAGCCUCCCAAAGUGCUAGGAUUAUAGCCACCGCACCUCGUCUUGAAAUAGCCUUUUAAAUGUUCACCUCAGCUUGCCUCACAGUGGUAAAAAUAAGCAUUUUUUUGUUUUGUAGGAUCAGGGAGCUUCCAAGGCAUUUGAUACCUUUUUGAUGGGAAGAAGGGCUCUGAGGAGCUCCAAGAUACCCCAACCUCCAGGCCCUUCAUUAGGGGGUAGUUGGGUUUCUGUUUGGCCUUUCCCCCUGGGCCCCAUAGGCUUAAACUACCCCCACCCCCACCUCCGCCUCCUACCUCAGCUGGGAGCACUGUCUUCCAUGGGGCUUCCACUUCUCUCCUCAACCUGGGGAAGACCACAGGGCAGUGCCUGCCUCAGGACCUGCCUUCCCCAAAAGCUGGCUUCUUGCUCCAAGGAGAGAGCAUUGACCCACCUGCCAGAGUCUUGCCUUUUGCCCAAAGGAGCCUGGUCUUCAGGGCUGCAUAGGAUGCAAGUGCCUUCUCUGCUUCUCACCGGUCUGUUCCUGGUUUCCCAGAUGCAUAAAGGAAGACAUAUCCCUCCCCUGGGCAGCAAGGCUACAAUGGGAGGGAGGGAGAACAUGGGAGCAUGUGAAUAAAAUGGCAUUAAAU
rnacentral:lncRNA from 1 species